UACGACUUCGUGUCACGUGUCCUAAACCUUUGAUCGCUUCGGUAAACGGUCCAACAGCUGGAUUUGGUCUUUCCCUUCUCGCAUUGUGUGAUAUAGUCUUUGCUUCAGAAAAGUGCCUGCGAGACACAAAGACGUUGAUGGUCAGCAGUAAUAUGAAGAACUUGAGUUUAAAAAUCACGAGGAAUGCGAUUUGUUUCAAAAGUACAUCAGCAACGAUGAUAUUGUGGAUUGCAUCGUAAGUUGAUGGUGGACGAGGUUACAGGAAUGACUUACCAUCCAGGUAUACUUGCGAUCAGACUUAUGGCGCGUGCUAAUAUUUAUUGUACAAAUAGGAUAAUGUGUCCCAAUGAUCCGUUUGUAACCGUUACGCAGCGGAAAUUGUAUUCCUAAUGAUCCGUUUGUAACCUUUACGCAGCGGAAUUUGUAGCGUUGUUUGUGUAAAUCAUUCGUAACUUGAGUUGAAUAACAAAACAUAUUCGUUCAUUUAA